AACGAACGCUGGCGGCAGGCUUAACACAUGCAAGUCGAGCGCCCCGCAAGGGGAGCGGCAGACGGGUGAGUAACGCGUGGGAAUCUACCGAGCCCUACGGAAUAACGCAUGGAAACGUGUGCUAAUACCGUAUACGCCCUACGGGGGAAAGAUUUAUCGGGGUUUGAUGAGCCCGCGUUGGAUUAGCUAGUUGGUGGGGUAAAGGCCUACCAAGGCGACGAUCCAUAGCUGGUCUGAGAGGAUGAUCAGCCACAUUGGGACUGAGACACGGCCCAAACUCCUACGGGAGGCAGCAGUGGGGAAUAUUGGACAAUGGGCGCAAGCCUGAUCCAGCCAUGCCGCGUGAGUGAUGAAGGUCUUAGGAUUGUAAAGCUCUUUCACCGGAGAAGAUAAUGACGGUAUCCGGAGAAGAAGCCCCGGCUAACUUCGU
rnacentral:rRNA from 1 species